GGGCCUAUCGUCCAACAGGAAGACGCUGGUCUUGCAAACCUGAAAUCCGGGUGCGACUCCCGGUGGGUCCA
rnacentral:tRNA from 1 species